rnacentral:tRNA from 1 species
GUUCAAAUCCACCUCCAGACA